GUCAACUCCGCCAGAUCACAGGAUGCUGGGAUAUCUGGCUAAACAUUAUUUCUGAGUGUGUCUGUGAGGGUGUUUUCCUGAGAGAUUAUUAGCAUUUGAAUCAGUAGACUGAGUCAAGCAGUUUGCCCUCCCUAAUGUGGGUGGACAUUAUAGAGCAAACGGUUGGAGGAAGAGAGGAUUCACCCUGUCUCCCUGCCUGACUGAACUGGAAUAUUGAUCUUCUUCUGCCCUUAGCUCUCCUGGUUCUCAGGUCCUUAAACUCAGACUGGAAUCUCCACCAUCAGUUCUCAAGCCUUCCAACUACACUGCUGGCCCUGGGACUCCAGGUGGCGGAGGGCAGGCCUCUGACUGGUACAAAGACCAAAUGUGGAUGUCUCAGGACCCAAAGGACCUGGAGAAGCAGACACAGUGGACUGUGGCACCGUGCUGUAAUCACUGCCCCAGACAGCAUGAACAGCUCCUGUCAGGGCACAGGAAGAUGAAGAAAUCAAAGUUCAGGAAUGGUAAAUGUUCUGAUCAAGGUUGUUCUGCUGGAGUGGUGGUUGAUCUCAAGCUUCCCGCAAGCCUGUUGACUACAGCAUUGAUCAGUUCGCCUAAGUUUCCUGACUGUAAAUAUCAUGGCUGAUUCUAAUAUCAUGCACAAAGCCUGUCAUUCAGAGAGAUGGUGCUACAAAUUGUUUUACAGUUUUAGUUGUGUUCAAAUCAACCAAGUAUAAAUCAGAAUGUCAUCAAGGCUAUGAGCUCCACCUUUCUAAAUCUGGGUAUUCCACUUCCGAGAAGGGUUUUGUGCCUGAGAGGUUGAUAUCUGCAACUGUCUCAAGGCUCUAACUUUUCAUAAACACUAUUGCAAACUAGUUUAGGUUGUACAAGAGAAGACUUUCUUUUAAAAAUCAAAAGUAUAGGUUUUGAUUCAUCUUUGCAAGAUGGGAGAAAAAAGCAGAAAUAAAGUCUAGCCUCCCAGAUGACCUCAAUAUUGGAAAUGACCCAUGCAAGCACUUUCACUGAGAAGUGAAUAAAACUAGGAUAAAUUGCUGCCAGAUUUAGUGUACAACAGGUCUGAUUUUGUUGCUUCACAACUUUUUUUCUCAUCAAACAGUAGAGUGGACUUCGACAUGGAGAAGAUCCUGUCAAAACUUCACUCACACUCCCUAAUUCAGAGGGGUGAGGGCAGGUAGUGGGGCAAAGAGCCAUGAUACACAAAGUGCAGGCCACUGCCCCCCACUUCAACCUGACCUAAUCCAUCAUGGGAGUUCACAUUGCCUCAGCCAAAAUAAAUAGAGAGACGCCCUUCUGCACAACGGAGACUUGUCUAGCUGUGACUGCCUACUCGUCACCUCUCAACAUCCACUCAAACCCCCAAGCUACUGAAUGCCUAAUAUAAAUGCAUAGCAAAAUGUAAAUUUUCUGUUUUUCUCUCAUCUGGGACUACAGAAUUUGGGCAGGAACACCCCUUCCCACACACCAAUUUUUGACAGAACAUAUUAUCAUCCUUAUUGCUUAAGAAAGGAAAGAACUCCCUCUACAAGAAUGGGACCAAAGAAGAAAAAUUUAAAGACUUAGAAAAGAUAUCACAUCGGAUGAAACUGGAAACCAUCAUUCUCAGCAAACUAUCGCAAGGACAAAAAACCAAACAUCACAUGUUCUCACUCGUAGGUGGGAACUGAACAAUGAGAACACUUGGACACAGGAAGGGGGGCAUCACACACUGGGGCCUGUUGUGGGGUGGGGGGAGGGGGGAGGGAUAGCAUUAGGAGAUAUACCUAAUGUAAAUGAUGAGUUAAUGGGUGCA
rnacentral:lncRNA from 10 species